UACGUAGGGCGCAAGCGUUGUCCGGAAUUAUUGGGCGUAAAGAGCUACGUAGGCGGUUUGUCGCGUCUGCUGUGAAAACCUAAGGCUCAACCUUGGGCUUGCAGUGGGUACGGGGCAGACUAGAGUGGCGGUAGGGGUGACUGGAAUUCCUGGUGUAGCGGUGGAAUGCGCAGAUAUCAGGAGGAACACCGAGUGGCGAAGGC
rnacentral:rRNA from 1 species